rnacentral:lncRNA from 1 species
AAGAUCAAGGUACCAGCAUACCUGGUGUCUAGCUUGAACAAGUCUGUCUUCUCCUCCUGUCCUUACAUGGCUGAGAAAGAGGAAGCAAGCUUUAGAAGGAAGUUUAUGUUCAGGGCACUAAUUUCAUCCUUUGGGGAAUCCCUCUUGACUUAAUCACAUACCCCACCCCCAUCCCCAGGUCCCAUCUCUACAUCCAUUGUGCUGCGGUUAGAAUUUCAGCAUAUAAAUGUAGAGGGGCCAGCCCUUAACAAGUGCCUGGGGUGUUGUAGGCCGUCCAUGACUGUGGCUAUUGAUCCUAUUGCACAGGACUAAGGAGUUGUGGGUUCAUCUAAACUCAUUUGGCUGAUAGAAGAACAGUGGAGGUCCUGCACACAGCAAGCACCAGGCUCAGAGGCAAGGGGACUGCGGAGUUUUCAGGAACUAUGAAGAAGCUUUGGAGAGAAGAGAAAUGACAGGAGGAAUGUUUCAAGCUAGAAGAAGCUGCUACAUAACAGCAAAGACUCAGCAUGGGUGGAUGGACAAAGAAAAAACUGGUUCAUCUUGAGAGUUAGACAGUUUCAAUUGGGAUAAUGAUGAAGUUUCUUUUGCCUUAAUCCUUUUGAACAAUGAGACAACAACGAUGACGACGAUGACACCACCACCACCACCAACAACAACAACUCUAUGUGGGGCCAGAGAGCUAUGGGACUGAGAGGAGCAGCCGUGGAGCAAGAGUGGGGUGGAGGCAAUUCAAACCCCUGAAAUCUCAUCCUGAGAUCUGUAGAAGUAGGAAUACUGCCGCCUCUGCCCCAGGCCUGUAUGUACCUGUGCACGCAGUCCAGUGCCCCCCACCCUUACCUUACCAGAGGAGGUCAAGUAGCCAGUGGCCAAUUUAAACUUCCUUUCCCCUUAUAAGUCAUGUGCAGCAGCACCUGGAAUUCCUCCUUAUGCAAAUGAGGCAUCCCCAGCCAAUGAGGUACACUCACCCUGAUAGCCCGCCCCUCAAAGCUUUUUUCCUCCUUCCACAAUAAACUGAAUCAGUCUCUGAAGCUAA